CAUUCACUGAUCCCACGAGCAGCAUAGUUUCGCAGAAACCUAAAUGGAGACCCAGAGUGGAAUGAAAGAGCCUGGAGACCUUCGUAUCAUUGACAAAUGAUGCGAAGGUUGGUACAUUAGUGGGGGAAGACAAAUAUGGAAACAAAUACUAUGAAGACAACAAGCAAUUUUUUGGCCGUCACCGAUGGGUUGUAUAUACUACUGAAAUGAAUGGCAAAAACACAUUCUGGGAUGUGGAUGGAAGCAUGGUGCCUCCUGAAUGGCAUCGUUGGCUUCACAGUAUGACUGAUGAUCCUCCAACAACAAAACCACUUACUGCUCGUAAAUUCAUUUGGACGAACCAUAAAUUCAACGUGACUGGCACCCCAGAACAAUAUGUACCUUAUUCUACCACUAGAAAGAAGAUUCAGGAGUGGAUCCCACCUUCAACACCUUACAAGUAAAGACAAUGAAGAACAGUUGAAACAUGCAAAAUAUGGAGCUUUUCAUGUAAUUACUCUUUUACUGUUUACCAUUCACUAUAAUUCACAAUUAAAAUUGUGUGACUAAA
rnacentral:lncRNA from 1 species